UACCAGCACCCCGAGUGGUCGGGACGAUUAUUGGGCCUAAAGCAUCCGUAGCCGGUUCUACAAGUCUUCCGUUAAAUCCACCUGCUUCAACAGAUGGGCUGCGGAGGAUACUAUAGAGCUAGGAGGCGGGAGAGGCAAGCGGUACUUAGUGGGUAGGGGUAAAAAUCCGUUGAUCCAUUGAAGACCACCAGUGGCGAAGGCGGCUUGCCAGAACGCACCUCGAACGGUGAGGGAUGAAAGCUGGGGGAGC
rnacentral:rRNA from 1 species